GGGAGCAGAAGAGGUGCGUUAACCAGGUAGUCUGUCUGAGGUAUCCAAAUACCCGGGAAGGCAGGUGAGGGGGCUUAACGCCGAGAUGAGUUUGCGUUUGGAUGCAAUACUUGUCGGUCACUGGGGCUGAAUCCUCAGGGCUGUCACCUUUGGUGGAGAGCUUCUGGUAUU
rnacentral:ncRNA from 1 species